GAGAUCGGGAUAACACCUGGAAACAGAUGCUAAUACCGGAUAACAACAGAUGAUGCCUAUCAACUGUUUAAAAGAUGGUUCUGCUAUCACUCUUGGAUGGACCUGCGGUGCAUUAGCUAGUUGGUAGGGUAACGGCCUACCAAGGCGAUGAUGCAUAGCCGAGUUGAGAGACUGAUCGGCCACAUUGGGACUGAGACACGGCCCAAACUCCUACGGGAGGCAGCAGAA
rnacentral:rRNA from 1 species